CCUACGGGUGGCUGCAGUGGGAAUAUUGCACAAUGGGCGCAAGCCUGAUGCAGCCAUGCCGCGUGUGUGAAGAAGGCCUUCGGGUUGUAAAGCACUUUCAGCGGGGAGGAAGGCGGUGAGGUUAAUAACCUCAUCGAUUGACGUUACCCGCAGAAGAAGCACCGGCUAACUCCGUGCCAGCAGCCGCGGUAAUACGGAGGGUGCAAGCGUUAAUCGGAAUUACUGGGCGUAAAGCGCACGCAGGCGGUCUGUCAAGUCGGAUGUGAAAUCCCCGGGCUCAACCUGGGAACUGCAUUCGAAACUGGCAGGCUAGAGUCUUGUAGAGGGGGGUAGAAUUCCAGGUGUAGCGGUGAAAUGCGUAGAGAUCUGGAGGAAUACCGGUGGCGAAGGCGGCCCCCUGGACAAAGACUGACGCUCAGGUGCGAAAGCGUGGGGAGCAAACAGGAUUAGAUACCCGAGUAGUC
rnacentral:rRNA from 1 species